rnacentral:lncRNA from 10 species
UAAUGUUGUGUGAUGCUUGUGAAUUUGAAUUCAUUUAUAUUCAAAUUGUGAUGAGACAUGGAGGAAAUUUUCUGGUUGAUGAAUUAUACCAGUGUGUGGCAACUCUGGCCAAAUGUUAGAAUCACCUGUGGGAGCUUCAAAAAUAAUGCCUAUGCCUGUGCCCUAAUCCCAGACGAAUUGAAUCAACAUCUAUGGAAGAUGAUCCCUGGAUAUCAGCAUUUCUCAAAGCUCUCCAACAGAUUUUAUAGAGUAGCUUAAUUUAAGGUCCCAUAAGGGAAGGAAACAGCAAACUCAUAUCUUUUAGUGCGACUUUCAGAAACAGAAUGCAUUGCCCAAGUAGUUUGCCACUGGUUCCUAUGCUUAAGGCAAAUCCUAGGUAACAAGCAUGUGAAAUUUACAUGCCUAACUGCUCUUUUUGAGUUUUCUAACACUCCAAGAAGUUUUAAAUGUAUCUAAAUGUUUCUCCGAGAAUCUUAGGAAUUCUAUCACUGCCAGUACAGAUAGUCAAGUCUUAGGAAUGUAACUAAUUUCUUUCAUUCUCUGGUCUUCCAACAAUCAUGUUAAUUUAUAAAAAAAAAAUGCAUUAAAGAGAAGUACAUGGUCGCAAU